rnacentral:rRNA from 1 species
AGUGAACGCUGGCGGCAGGCCUAACACAUGCAAGUCGAGCGAGCGGCGGACGGGUGAGGAAUAUAUCGGAAUCUUCUCUGUCGCGGGGGAUAACGCAGGUAAACUUAAGCGCAUACCGCAUACGCUUGUAUGUGCCGCUGUCGGAUUAGCUAGUGGGCGGGGUAAAGGCUCACCACGGCGACGAUCCGUAGCUGGUCUGAGAGGAUGAUCAGCCACACUGGAACUGAGACACGGUCCAGACUCCUACGGGAGGCAGCAGUGGGGAAUAUUGCACAAUGGGCGCAAGCCUGAUGCAGCCAUGCCGCGUGGGUGAAGAAGGCCUUCGGGUUGUAAAGCCCUUUUGUUGAGAAAGCGGUACCCGAAGAAGAAGCACCGGCUAACUUCGUGCCAGCAGCCGCGGUAAUUC